rnacentral:rRNA from 1 species
AUUGAACGCUGGCGGCAGGCCUAACACAUGCAAGUCGAGCGGAUGAGUGGAGCUUGCUCCAUGAUUCAGCGGCGGACGGGUGAGUAAUGCCUAGGAAUCUGCCUGGUAGUGGGGGACAACGUUUCGAAAGGAACGCUAAUACCGCAUACGUCCUACGGGAGAAAGCAGGGGACCUUCGGGCCUUGCGCUAUCAGAUGAGCCUAGGUCGGAUUAGCUGGUAGGUGAGGUAAUGGCUCACCUAGGCGACGAUCCGUAACUGGUCUGAGAGGAUGAUCAGUCACACUGGAACUGAGACACGGUCCAGACUCCUACGGGAGGCAGCAGUGGGGAAUAUUGGACAAUGGGCGAAAGCCUGAUCCAGCCAUGCCGCGUGUGUGAAGAAGGUCUUCGGAUUGUAAAGCACUUUAAGUUGGGAGGAAGGGCAGUAAGUUAAUACCUUGCUGUUUUGACGUUACCAACAGAAUAAGCACCGGCUAACUUCGUGCCAGCAGCCGCCGUAA